rnacentral:rRNA from 1 species
AGCGAACGCUGGCGGCGUGCUUAACACAUGCAAGUCGAACGCGCAGUCUUCUGUAGCAAUACAGGAGGCCGGCGCGUGGCGAACGGGUGCGUAACACGUGGAUAACCUUCCUUCAGGUGGGGAAUAACCCAGUGAAAAUUGGGCUAAUACCGCAUAACAUGACGAUGGCACAUGCCGUUGUCUUCAAAGCCGCAAGGCGCCAGAUGAGGGAUCCGCGGCCGAUUAGCUUGUUGGCGAGGUAAUGGCUCACCAAGGCAAUGAUCGGUAGCCGGACUGAGAGGUUGGCCGGCCACACUGGAACUGAGACACGGUCCAGACUCCUACGGGAGGCAGCAGUGGGGAAUCUUGCGCAAUGGACGAAAGUCUGACGCAGCAACGCCGCGUGGGGGAUGAAGCUUCUCGGAGUGUAAACCCCUUUCGACCCGGACGAAUGCCCGCAAGGGUUUGACGGUACGGGUAUAAGAAGCCCCGGCUAACUACGUGCCAGCAGCCGCGGUAAAACGUAGGGGGCCAGCGUUGCUCGGAAUUACUGGGCGUAAAGGGUCCGUAGGCGGUGUGGCAAGUCGGAAGUGAAAUCUCUGGGCUUAACCCAGAGGCUGCUCCCGAAACUGCCAUGCUAGAGUGUGAGAGAGGCGAGUGGAAUUGCGGGUGUAGCGGUGAAAUGCGUAGAUAUCCGCAGGAACAUCCGAGGCGAAAGCGGCUCGCUGGAUCACAACUGACGCUGAGGGACGAAAGCUAGGGGAGCAAACAGGAUUAGAUACCCUGGUAGUCCUAGCCCUAAACCAUCAGGACUUGGGGUUUGCCCUGUACGGGGCAAGUCCCGUAGCUAACGCGUUAAGUCCUGCGCCUGGGGAGUACGGUCGCAAGGCUG